GAAAAAGAAACCCGCUCCGGCCUCCAAGUAUUUCACAAAGAUAAAGCAGUCUAAAAAGCAAAUAUGCAGAGAAGUGACUGCUUUCAAACACUGCAGUCUGGGAAGAGUUCCUCGAGCCCAGUGGUUGUGCCUCAUUUCCCUGCUGCCUCCCCACUCCCAAGCCUGGUGCAGGAAGAGUUAAUAGGUUUAAAGGGAGUUUUUUUUUCCCUGUAGCUUUGUCAGAGUGAAAGUGAAACAGCUCUGGUAGCCAGUGUGGGGCUUCUCCUGCACCCCCACCCUCUAGUGAAGGUCACCCAGUGAAAACAGGCUCCUGCCAAAGGUGAAUGCUCUUCCAGAGGGGAAAAUGGUGCAGGGUUAGAGGGAUCCUCUGACAGUCAGUAUCCAUCCCCCACGCAGAAUCCCUGCUGUGUAUGGACUAGCAUGGGGAGGAGGUGGACCCUGAGAUUCCCACACACAGCUUUCAGCAGGCUGGUGAGGGCCCUGCCUUCCAUCCUGGCUCAUGGUCACUCUGUGGCUCUCCAGCAGGGUCAGCACAGCUCUGCUGCUCAGGAAAACCCACUGCAGCAGCCAAGGAGGGAACAGCGCUGACUACAGGGGACCAGGUGGCCAAAAGUCCAUGUGGAUGUAUCGAAGCUGCUAGGAAGUGGGGAGCCAUCCCUUGGCUGCAAGGACUGAGCCUGGGAGACAAGAGAUGCAGCCUUUGUUUGUGUGUCCACCCCACAGCACCAGGCCCAGCAGUCACCCAGCUGUGUUUGGCCAGUGAGGACGGGAAGUGCCUGGGAGCAAUCAGAGUGCCCUGUCCUCAGGCACUGACACUGCCCUGCUCCCUCCUACCACUGCUCCCAACACCCAUAGUCACAGCUGCUCAACUUCUUUCCCUUGUCACAGACUUUUGUACUGUGCUAUCAAUAAAUCAAUUCCCUGUUUACCUUCUCCAGAACUUCCUAGAGAUCAUGUCAUCCCAGCAGUGGCACCAUUUGAGAGAGAUGUGAAGACUAGUCUGACCUGCUCCAACACAGAAAUUCCUCUCCCAAACACACAUUUCUCCAGGCACUGGCAAAGCUGAGAUGGCCCCUCCAGCAUCACCUCCUGCCUCAGCAUCAGCUCAGCCCCAGUGCAGGCACAGCCACCAAGAGCUGUCCUGGCAGAGCCCAUCUCUGGGAGUGCCCAUCUCACCAAGGCACCAGGCAGGCGUCAAGGGCAGAGAGACAAGUCCUUCAUCCUGCCCAGACCUCCUCACACCUCAUCUACCCAGCUUGGGGAUCAAAGCCUCUGAGUCACUCCACAUCUUCCUGGUCCCCAGGCUGUCUUUCUGGUAUGCUGUCACACCCCUUCUCUCUGCCCUCCUCUACCCUUUCACUUCUUCAACUUUUAUUUGACUCCAUGAGGUUCUGAGGGAGCAAACAGCUCAUUUCCUUCAGAGGAAAAGAGAUUUUAUGACUGAAGGUGAAGCAACAGAACAAAGCUGUAGCAGAACAAGUCUGUAGCAAGUGCACAGGCACAAGAAAGCAGCCAUGCCCCAAGGAGCUGGGCACACAUGUGGACUCAAAGUUGAGCUGGAGGCUGAAGCUACUGGAGAGCUCUAGCAAAAAAUGCUUCCCCCUGUUGGAGCUGCUGGGGCUCACACUCUCCUUGCUGAUGUCACAUUGCUCCUGUGUCACAUCGCUCCUGCGUCUCCCUGUGACCCAGCAGGGAACAGCAAGCCAUACCUGCAGUUUAGCGAGUUAUGACACAUCAGUGCAGCCAGCACACCCGGCCCUGGGUCUGUGUGCCUUUGGCUCACCUGUUUCCUGUCACUUGUGUGACAAGAGCAGCACACGGCCAGCUGCUGGGUUGUUCAGAUGUAACAACUUGCUGGCUACUCUGCUGCUCCAGGCAACACAAUAUCACUGACCCUUCUCCUCCUCUGCAGAGCAAGAGACAUCCCAAGGACAAGAGAGGGAUGUUAUUGCUGCUGUCUUCAUCACUGACCUCUUCACUGAGCUCUGGAGAGGAACAGAUAAACCAAAGCCUCAGCAACGUCAAAGGGCUUCAGAAGAGAGGACACCUUAGUGCCACUCACCUGCAGUGCUUUGCCUCCUGUCCCUUGACACAUCCUGCUCAGAAAAGCCAGCCCUGUCCAAAUAUUAACAGAGUGCUUGGUUGCUAUGGGAGGGGGAGGGCUGCCCUUGGUGGAGGAGCUGAGUGACCAUUCAGGGAUGGACUCACAGAAAAACACAUCUUCAUCCAGGGAGGGCAGCCUGGGCAGCCUCAGCUCUGCUGCAUGGCUGUGUUACAGGCAACAGGCACACACUUUGAGAAAUGCCUCUUCUCUGGUUGCAGAGAAAAAUACAAGGCAUAGAGGUGUGUUUGUACAACUCCAUAUAUGAUGUGGAAAUGUAGGUACCUGCAUGUAUGUGUACAUGUUGUAAGUAGAUAUACUACAUGUAUGUAGAUGUGUACCUGCAGAUGUAUAGAAGUUAAUGCCUACAAGCCAUUAACCAAGAUCUUUAUGUAUUUAUGCAUUUUAUGUGUGAGGCUGAGUGUAUAGGUAGGCAAAAUUCGGUAUUUCAAAAUGGUAAAUCCUCAAGCAGGGGAAGUUAUGGGUUAAACUGAUGGCAAAUCAAGCAUUCAGAAAAAUAGGACUCCCCAGGAGAAAGCUGUAAUAAAUUUUUUAUUAAUAGA